UCAAGAAAGUAAAUUUUUUUUGGAAUCCUGAAAACUGACUUUUUGAAGAUGCAGAGAAUUUGCUUUUGCCGAUCGAUAAAUCCUUCAUAUUCAAUGAGACACAAAGGGCAGUCCUUCCGUGUCGCCCUCGGUCGCCCUAUACUCAUACUGGUCGUGGGAAAGAAAACAUUACACUGUACCUGUUGGACGAUGACAGGGGUAGAAGUGGUGAUUGGUUGUCCAACAAGUUUCAGGGCUUCCAAACAAAAAAGAAUGCCAGCAGGGCCGCUGCAGGUCGAAAUUACCUUUGCAAGGGCACUAGGUUUGGAAAGGAGAAUAAUCUUUUCGUUGACAUUAUUGUUGCAGAUAUCAAAUUAUAAGUGAUUAGUGUCACAUUACACAUAUAAGGCCGGGAUCGUCCCCCUUGCCCUCCUGCGUAUCCUUGAAUUUUUGCUGGAAUGUCGGUAAGAUCUGAGGCCACAGAUGAAAAACUAUUGUGCCACUUUCACUACAACUCCAUUACGUAUAGGUUUUUUUGGGGGUGGGUGUUACACUUAAAUUUAGUAGAGACUAGUGAGACUGCGACAAUCGGCAGACAACUUUUCAAAGCGUGAUAGUCAGUGUUCGAACGUGUUUUUAGUUUGCAACUCACAAUGGAAUUCCUUUUGACGUUAUAGUGGUGUUAUGCUGUAUGUAUAUAAGUUGAUAAUUUAUCGCAUUUCCGGAUUUGAGAUUAAUACUGCCAGUUUGAAUUGCCUACUUCUAUCUAGUACUUAAUUCACAUCAUGCCCUCCUGCAUGAGAAAUGUUGGAGUAAAAAACUCUGGAUGGAAAGACCAGGAUGAUGUAGGAAUAAUUUUUAAUCCUCGACAAGUGUCGCAGUCGAUAGACCAGAUGUUGUGGACGUUGCACUACUUUUCCAAGAAUCGUAAAAUAAGGCAUGUCCGUUGUUUCAUAGGCUAUAUUAAAAACAGGAUUGGCGCUUCCAUUCAUUUCCCAUAACCUUGCUAUGCGCAUACAUUUUAUAUCUGAAAUUUGUUGACAAAACUUUUCACGAUCGUAUUUUUUUUUAAUCUGCGUGA